rnacentral:rRNA from 1 species
UGGGGAAUAUUGCACAAUGGGCGCAAGCCUGAUGCAGCCAUGCCGCGUGUAUGAAGAAGGCCUUCGGGUUGUAAAGUACUUUCAGCGGGGAGGAAGGGAGUAAAGUUAAUACCUUUGCUCAUUGACGCUACCCGCAGAAGAAGCACCGGCUAACUCCGUGUCAGCAGCCGCGGUAAUACGGAGGGUGCAAGCGUUAAUCGGAAUUACUGGGCGUAAAGCGCACGCAGGCGGUUUGUUAAGUCAGGUGUGAAAUCCUCGGGCUCAACCUGGAAACUGCAUCUGAUACUGGCAAGCUUGAGUCUCGUAGAGGGGGGUAGAAUUCCAGGUGUAGCGGUGAAAUGCGUAGAGAUCUGGAGGAAUACCGGUGGCGAAGGCGGCCCCCUGGACGAAGACUGACGCUAAGGAGGGAAAGAGUGGGGAGCAAACAGG